rnacentral:piRNA from 1 species
GACCACUUGCACUGCAGAUAUAAGGCCA